rnacentral:tmRNA from 1 species
GGGGACGCGUGGUUUCGACAGGGGGUAGCAGAGCGGGAUUGCAGGCCGAGGUCCGCCCACCUCGUUAAACCGGCGGAACAAAAGUAACUGGCGAGCGCGAACUCGCACUGGCCGCCUAGAGCGGCCCGUCCGCCCUUCCCUCCCCUGAGGGGAAGGACCGGGCGCCACUCAAUCAGGGUGCGGCCCUAGCCCACGCCGAUCCGCGAAGGCCAAAGACCUUUUUCGGCUAGCCUGACCAGACCCUGCCGCCGGGGGCUGUAAGGGCAAAACUCAAAACAGCGGCUACGCCUGGAGUACAUCCCCUUGAGCGCUUUCUGGACGGGGAGUUCGACUCUCCCCCGUCUCCACCA